rnacentral:rRNA from 1 species
GUGCCAGCAGCCGCGGUAAGACGAACCGUGCAAACGUUGUUCGGAAUCACUGGGCUUAAAGGGCGCGUAGGCGGAUUCACAAGUCUGUGGUGAAAUCCUCCAGCUUAACUGGAGAAGUGCCGUGGAUACUGUGAGUCUCGAGGAGGAUAGGGGCAUCUGGAACUGCCGGUGGAGCGGUGAAAUGCGUUGAUAUCGGCAGGAACUCCGGUGGCGAAGGCGAGAUGCUGGAUCCUUUCUGACGCUGAGGCGCGAAAGCCAGGGGAGCAAACGGGAUUAGAUACCCCCGUAGUCC